rnacentral:rRNA from 1 species
ACUGAACGCUGGCGGCAGGCCUAACACAUGCAAGUAGAGCGGAACGGCGGACGGGAGAGGACGGCCUUGUGAUUAGCCUGGUAGUGGGGGACCACGUCCGGAAACGGACGCCAAUACCGCCUACUAUAAGAUGAGCCUAGGUGGGAUUAGCUAGUUGGUGGGGUAAAGGCCUACCAAGGCGACGAUCCGUAACUGGUCUGAGAGGAUGAUCAGUCACACUGGAACUGAGACACGGCACAGACUCCUACGGGAGGCAGCAGUGGGGAAUAUUGGGCAAUGGGCGAAAGCCUGAUCCAGCCAUGCCGCGUGUGUGAAGAAGGUCUUCGGAUUGUAAAGCACUGUAGGUUGGGAAGCGUUACCUACAGAAUAAGCACCGGCUAACUUCGUGCCAGCAGCCGCGGUAAUUC